AUUGAACGCUGGCGGCAGGCUUAACCCAUGCAAGUCGAACGAGUGGCGGACGGGUGAGUAAUGUCUGGGACACUGCCCGAUGGAGGGGGGUAACUACUGGAAACGGUAGCUAAUACCGCAUACCCUCGGAUGUGCCCAGAUGGGAUUAGCUAGUAGGUGGGGUAACGGCUCACCUAGGCGACGAUCCCUAGCUGGUCUGAGAGGAUGCCCAGCCACACUGGAACUGAGACACGGUCCAGACUCCUACGGGAGGAAGCAGUUGGGAAUAUGGCACAAUGGGCGCAAGCCUGAUGCAGCCAUGCCGCGUGUAUGAAGAAGGCCUUCGGGUUGUAAAGGACUUUCAGCGAGGAGGCGUUACUCGCAGAAGAAGCACCGGCUAACUCCGGGCCAGCAGCCGCGGUAAUAC
rnacentral:rRNA from 1 species